AACGAACGCUGGCGGCAUGCCUAACACAUGCAAGUCGAACGCCCAGCAGGGGGAGUGUCCGGCGGGUGGGUAACACGUGGGGACCUUCCCUAUAGUACGGAAUAGCCCAGGGAAACUUGGAGUAAUACCGUAUACGCCCGAAAGGGGGAAGAAUGUUGAGAUAGGAUGGGCCCGAGUAGGAUUAGCUGGUUGGUGUGGUAAUGGCUCACCAAGGCGACGAUGGUUAGCUGGUUUGAGAGAACGACCAGCCACACUUGGGCUGAGACACGGUCCAGACUCUUACGGGAGGCGGCAGAGGGGAAUAUUGGACAACGGGCGCAAGCCUGAUCCACCCCUGGCGGGUGAGUGAUGAAGUCCGUAGGGUUGUAAAGCUCUUUUGGCGGGGACGAUAAUGACGGUACCCGAAGAAUAAGUCCCGGCUAACUUCGUG
rnacentral:rRNA from 1 species